rnacentral:rRNA from 1 species
AAUCCGGAUAAUCAAGGCUGAGGUGUGAUGACGAGGCACUACGGUGCUGAAGUAACAAAUGCCCUGCUUCCAGGAAAAGCCUCUAAGCAUCAGGUAACACGAAAUCGUACCCCAAACCGACACAGGUGGUCAGGUAGAGAAUACCAAGGCGCUUGAGAGAACUCGGGUGAAGGAACUAGGCAAAAUGGUGCCGUAACUUCGGGAGAAGGCACGCUGGUGUGUAGGUGAAGCCCCUGCGGGUGGAGCUGAGACCAGUCGAAGAUACCAGCUGGCUGCAACUGUUUAUUAAAAAACACAGCACUGUGCAAACACGAAAGUGGACGUAUACGGUGUGACGCCUGCCCGGUGCCGGAAGGUUAAUUGAUGGGGUUAUCCGUAAGGAGAAGC